CCACCUUGGGCACGCCAGAUCUCGUCUGAUCUCGGAAGUUAAGCAGGGUAGGGCCUGGUUAGUACUUGGAUGGGUGACCGCCUGGGAAUACCAGGU
rnacentral:rRNA from 10 species